GCCUGUAUCUGGUGGCUCUAAAAUCAUCAUGCCACAGCUAUUUAUAGCUGUCCACUUCACCAUUCUUAGGGUGUGGCCCUCAUUCUCAUAGUCCAAGAUAGCUGCCAGGGCUCCAGCUUUAUUUCAUAUUCCAGGUAGCAGAUUGGAGGAAGGGAACAAGAAGGGAGCAAAGGGCACAUGACAGCUGUCUUUCGAGUUGGUUUCCUCAGAAGCACGCACAUUACUUUUUAUAACUCAUUGGCCAAAACUUAGUCACACAGUCACAAUAGUUACAAGGAAAGAUAGGGAAUACAGAACUUUUAGCUAGGCACUAGAGUGACAUCAGUGGGAAUGGCAAAAUAAAGAUCUCUAAAAAUCCAUUUCUCCAUAAAAGUAAUGAGAACACAGGCAAAAAUUGUCAAAAUGUUUUUCAGAAUGCUGGAUAUAAAUCAAAGACUUGGAAUAAUCCAAGAAGCAUUUAUCCAAGAAAAGUUGCUGAAUCAAGAGCCAUGUGAAGGCUUUCUCUGAAAAAGCUCGUCUAAUCCCACAGCUCCAGUUACCAAAUCUGUGCUGAUUUUUCUAGAACUUAGUCUCCAGCCUAAGUCUUUCUCUGAAGCUCCAGCGCCUUAUACCCAAUGGCCUCCUGAACAACUCCCCUUGGAUAUUCUGCAGACUUCCUAGUGGGUGUGGAGUGGUAUCUCAUUGUGGUUUUGAUUUUCCUGGUGGCCAGUGAUGGUAGCCAUUGCACCAUCAGCCAGGCUCCUGGAAGAGAAUCAAGUGGAGCAGACCAGAAUCUAAGACCAACGCAAGCCUGGCCAACCCACGUGCAGCACACAGACCAGUGAGAGAAAAAAAGAAAGGUUUCUGGUUUGCUACUAAGCCCUGAUAGAAGCUGAAUGUUUGACUAUGAGAAAUCAAGUAAGCCUACGAACUGGAUGCUCUCUGAUCAGCCAAGGCAUGAGGUCAGUCACAUGCAGCAUCAGUCCAUGGUCAGAGGGUGGUGGUCUAUGUGAGGUCAGACUGAAGCGGGUCUAGAAGGCAUAAACAAGAAGUGUAAGCAGGUGGCUCACACCUGGUCGACACCUGCUCCUCCUUCGACACCUGCUCCUGCUGCAUUGCUGCCCCUGCGUCAGUCCACACCCAUUGCCUCAUGGAGAGUUUCCUAGGAGCAGCUUUGGAGCAAGAAAAAGCUCAUUCUUGGUUUACAGAUUGGCCUGCACAAAAUGUUGACUAACAGCUGCUGUACUGGACAUUGCAAAUAUAUGUGUCAUUGCAGAAAGUGUAUUAGUGCUGGCUAGAUCUGGCUGAUUGCAUUCUUCAUGGUGUAUUUAACAUUUUCCUUUGCCAACUCCUAUAGUUGGGUCUAGAGGUUCAAUUUGCUUUGUGUUUGGUUUUGUUUUUUGUUUGUUUGGCCAGACUACUUCGUGAAUCGUAUUGUCUUUUUCAACUAAGCAGGCUCGUAAUGACUAGUUGCCCCUCUUGUCAUCAGCUGCUGUUAAUCAAUAAUAGAUUCACUAUUCCAUUAGGCUCUGAAAAUCAGUGAUAUUCUAAAUUUGUCAUUUCUUCUUGAUGUAUUGGCUGGAAUACCUCUAUACAGAACACUUCCUCUUAUAUACCUCACUUCCCCAAGUAGAGGUACUGGAAAGACAACAUACAUAGCUGAUUCUUUACUUUUAUUUUCAAGGUUUCCAAAUGAAUUUGUUUCCUAACGCUUUGCAACAAUCACCAAAUAAUAUUUUGAGUGCCACUGUGGACUUGGGCAUUUAACUUAUUUUAUGUGUUUUGAUCCGUUGAAUUUUUAGAGGCUCAGAUUGUCUUCUGUUUGACCCGUGCCUCCUCUUUACUUUGGCUCCUGAACACUUUUGACAUCAAUCUCUUUGAUAACUUCCUUACUAGCUCAUCUGACAAGAUGUUCCAGGCUUAUUUUAUACCUUGUAUUUUUUAUCCCAGAGUUGGAAGCAGCCAUUUCCUUCAAAGAGCCUUUAUUUCCCAGUGGGAAAUGGUCUUUGAAAGCCACGCUCUGGGUCUAGGGGGUGCUCAUUUGUUUCUAGACCCUUUGGAUGGGCAGACCUAGGAAAUACAGACUAGAAAUACCAACAACCUCAGAAAAAUGCACUAGAACUUUGGGAAGAUGGUUGACAAGAAAAGGAAAUGCAGGUGUCUUGUAAUCAUAUGAAAAGAGGCUCAAUCUCAUUUGUAAUAAUAGAUUAUUAAACUGAUCCUGACAUACAAUUUCUCAUCUCCCAUAUUAACAAAAUUCAAAGGUUUGACAACACACGCUUGGCAAGGCUGUGCUGAAACAGGCACUCAGAUCUUGCUCAUGGAAAUGCAAACUGGUAAAGUCCAUAUGGAGGGAAAUUUGUUCAGUAAAAUUACAUAGGAGUUUACUUUGUGCCCCAGUAAUCCAACUUGUGCGACUCUUUCUCAGAACACUCUGGCAAAAAUAUGAGCAGACAUAGGCAUGAAGCCACUCACUGCACACAAAAGAUGAGAAACCACCCAAUGUCUAUAGGAGAAGGCAGGAUACAUCUAUAUGAUGGAGUGCUAUGUGGC